UCUUCAAACGUGUUGGACAUAUUCCAUCCAGUGCGUCCGUCGCCUAAUCAAAAGUGAUCACCACACGAACGACACAGAUAAUAUGAACGGCAACCGAAAGAAGAUAAGAAAAGAAAAUAAAAAACACAAACCAAAUAACACAAUAACAAUAAGAACACACGCUAGUGCGCUGUUCAAGUGUGAACCGAAACUUGUGACUUAAGUACUUUUCCAGUGUGUCGCGCAAGUCUCAACUCUCAAUUACCCGCUCCGAUAGUUGAAGUCGUAAAUUUGCUGCUGUUGGCAUUUACAGGCGAGCGAUGAUGGUAGGGGCACAAACGAGAGCCAGUUACUUACUUUUCUGCAGCAAUUGGCCCUCUUCGUUGCAGACACAGCUUUGCGUUUUGCCAGAGUCUCAGUUACCUGUCGUGUUGGCCACAUUCGAAACGAUCAAUUCAGUUUACAAGCAACCAGUGAACAGAGCGGUUGUUGAUUGUUCGUCACUGUCUGGUACAACCAACCAACCUACCAACCAGCCCAUCGACCCAGCGAUGGUGUUUGUUUAAACAGAAAUUGAAUUCAAGACCCAAGUUCAGCCCGUCGCCCGUCCCCCUCACAAAGGAAAGCAAAAUAGAAAACCUUCACUAAUGAAAUAGCACAGAAACGCAACAACAGCAAUAACUGCCAGCCACGAACCUUCCGAAUAACAGCAACCCGUAUCUGGUCUUGUUCAGAUAAAAAUUAACACAAAAUAUAAAUCAAAAGUCAAGAACUAUGAGUGUUCGUUCAUUCGCUCGUUCGUUCACAAACAUCGAGGUGUAUGAGUGUGUCUCGGAGAACCUAUUUAUUUGCCCGCCAGACAACAAUUAAAACGUGUCAAUGAGAUUGUCGAAUUGCCGUUACGAAUCACCAGUCACACAUACGCACAGGCUGGAUAUGUGUAUGGUACAUCUGAGAUUCUUCUGAGAAGUUUUAAAGCUCGAAUAAUAUAAACGUACGUUUAGAUUUAGCAUACAAGUGCAAAUUACCAAAUGCAGCCAUAGCACCCGUGGCGGGGGAUCUGCAACGAAUAUUUAACUGCGAGCUGACGCAUUGUCUGAGUGAGUUAAGUGUUGGUGGCGGCUAUAAGAAAGGAUAACUGUUCUCACAAGCCGGGAAGCAAAAGUCCUGAUGUAAACAAGGACUUCAUAGCGAUCAUAUACUUUUUGACACCGUAUUAAACCCUUUCCAAGUUUGCAGUUUUUGUUGGCAUUGUGAAAUAAGGUCAGUAGUUAAUGUUUUCUUUGUUGUUUGUGUUUCUUUUUUGUAAUUAGUUAAUUCUAUUUAAAUAAAAUGCGUUGCUGGCUGAUUUUCUGUGACACUAACGCUGCAGAAAGUAACGAAAGUAAAAAUCAGUGAAA